rnacentral:tRNA from 1 species
GCCGGAAUGGCGGAAUUGGCAGACGCACGGGACUCAAAAUCCCGCGCCCCUUAAAGGCGUGUCGGUUCGACCCCGACUUCCGGCACC